rnacentral:rRNA from 1 species
UGCCAGCCGCCGCGGUAACACGGGGGGCGCAAGCGUUAUUCGGAAUUAUUGGGCGUAAAGGGCGCGCAGGCGGUCAUUUAAGUGAGAUGUGAAAGCCAUGGGCUUAACCUGUGAACUGCAUCUCAUACUGGAUGGCUAGAGUAUGGCAGAGGAAUGUGGAAUUUCCGGUGUAGCGGUGAAAUGCGUAGAUAUCGGAAAGAACAUCAGUGGCGAAGGCGGCAUUCUGGGUCAAUACUGACGCUGAGGCGCGAAAGCGUGGGGAGCAAACAGGAUUAGAUA